CUCUAAAAAGUGUAUUUGGGCUGUAGUUAAUGUUAUGGCCUUUUUUGCAUUAACUUGACUUAAUUGUUUGGCUUUAGUUAUGUCAACUUACUUUCAUGAGUUCAAUUAACUUAAAAGUCACACAUUUCAUCUAAAACAAACGGUUAACUUUGAGUUGAAGUGAACCAAUUAAGUUAAUGCAGUUUUACGUCUGACGUCAUUACGUAAGCUUUGCCUGAGACAGAUCCACUUCUUGUACCGACCGCUUGUGCAGCCGCCAUUUCUUCUCACCAUCGACUGUCCACCGGAUUGUAAUAAAACAGUAAGUAUUCUACACACCAUGGCAAAAUAUUAUUUAAACGGUGUAAAAAUAUUAAUGACUUUUUCUACCUUUAAUUUGAAAGAGUUAACUGUUUUUAACGUCGAAGUAUCAUCAGUUAUUUGCUUUGAACACAUUUGCUAGUUGUAAUUUGCCGCGCUAUUCGGCAUGUUUGAACUUAACUGCUCUGUUAGUUAGUGAACGUUUAUUUUGUGUGUGUAUUUUUAAUUUGACCCUAAAGAACUUAAAUAGCUGGAAGUCGGGUAUGUAGUGAAAAACAUGAAAUGUGAUUUAGACUGGAGACGUUCAGGGCUGGUGCUGGUGGACCGAGAACUGCUGGCGUGUUCCGGUCGGAAGCUAGACUGGGUCAAAGUGUGGGAGCAGCUAAUGCACUGCAGUGGUGGCCAGACUUUAUAACAAGAACUACUGGACAGGUUGUUUUUUUAUGGGUAAGCUUAACGUACAGUUACGGAGGUGUUAGUGUUAUACGCAAAACUAAUUUAAUGUGACGCAACUGCGCUCUGCUUGUCACUUGUCACCGUGAGCUGCAGUCAGGGAAGCCAUUUGUUCCAAUUGUCAGGCUGCUUACUGACGACAUGAUAUAAAACGCAUAAUAUCCUGACAGUGCUAAUAAUCCAUAAGAUGUCAUUUCUCUUAAAAAAGAAAAAGCAAAAAAAUAAAAUAAGCAAUUCAUGUUUGUAGGAACUUUGAGUUAAUUUCUCUUUCCCACUCUCCAGGCCUGGAACCAAGCAUCAUCAGACCAUAGAAGAUUGCCAUGGCAAGUUCAAAACCUGCAAGACUGAAGGUGAUUCUAGGAGAGAGCAACACUGAAAAACUGACUCUUCCAAAUGGCAUACCAGAUUCUCUGGAUGAUCUUCUCAGCAAGGUGAAGGAUACCUUUGGUUUAAAGACCAACAUCAGACUGCAAUAUAUGGACAAAGACUUUGGUAAAGACUUCUUCAACCUCAGCUCAACUUCUGACCUUGAGGACUUGGGAACAGUCAAGGUGAUUCAAGAAGAAGCAGUUCAACCUUUUGUUGAUGUCAUUGAAACAACUCCAUCUUCUUCUGCAGUUCACUCAGAUGACAGCAGUUCUUUAGCUUCAAAUGACACUAUACUCCUCUCCUCCCCUGAAUCCUUCUCAUCG